UACGGGGGGGGCAAGCGUUGUUCGGAAUUACUGGGCGUAAAGGGCUCGUAGGCGGCCAACUAAGUCGGACGUGAAAUCCCUCGGCUUAACCGGGGAACUGCGUCUGAUACUGGUUGGCUUGAAUUCGGGGGAGGGAUGCGGAAUUCCAGGUGUAGCGGUGAAAUGCGUAGAUAUCUGGAGGAACACCGGUGGCGAAGGCGGCAUCCUGGACCGAGAUUGACGCUGAUGCGCGAAAGCCAGGGGAGCAAACGGG
rnacentral:rRNA from 1 species